AUGCAUGGUAUAUCCCCACUCCAUGGACAAUGUAUCCCUGCUCCAUGCACAACGUAUCCCUGCUCCGUGCAUGGUGUAUCCCCACUCCAUGCAUGGGGCAUCCGCRCUCCAUGCACGAGAUAUCCCUGCUCCAUGCAUGGUGCAUCCCUGCUCCGUGCACAGGGCAUCCCCACUCCGUGCUUGGCGUAUCCCUGCUCCAUGCAGGAGAUAUCCCUGUUCCAUUCAUGGCGUAUCUCCGCUCCACACACAGCGUAUCCCUGCUCCGUGCACGGUGUAUCCCUGCUCCAUACAUGUUGUAUCCCUGCUCUGUGCAUGGCACAUCCCUGCUCCGUGCAUGGGAUAUCCCUGCUCUGUGCACGGUGUAUCCUUGCUCCACACACAGUGUGUCCCUGCUCCACUUAUGGGAUAUCCCUGCUCCAUGCACAGCAUAUCCCUGUUCCGUGCAUGGGAUAUCCCCACUCCGUGCAUGGCGUAUCCUUGCUCCAUGCAUGGCAUAUCCCCACUCCGUGUAUGGUGCAUCUGUGCUCCGUGCAUGACGUAUUGCUGCUCCAUGCACAGCGUAUCCCUGCUCUGUGCACGGUGUAUCCCUGCUCCAUUUAUGGGAUAUCCCUGCUCCGUGCAUGGGGCAUUCCCACUCCAUGCACGAGAUAUCCCUGCUCCRUGCACAGGGCAUUCCCGCUCCGUGCUUGGCAUAUCCCUGCUCCAUGCAGGAGAUAUCCCUGUUCCAUGCAUGGCAUAUCCCCGCUCCACACACAGUGUAUUCCUGCUCCGUGCAUGGCGUAUCUCUGCUCCAUACAUGGAGUAUCCCUGCUCCAUGCACAGUGUAUCCCUGUUCCRUGCAUGGGAUAYCCCCACUCCGUGCAUGGCAYAUCCUUGCUCCAUGCAUGGCGUAUCCCCACUCCGUGUAUGGUGCAUCCGUGCUCCAUGCAUGACGUAUUGCUGCUCCAUUUAUGGGAUAUCCCUGCUCCGUGCAUGGUGUAUCCCUGCUCCGUGCAUGGAGCUUCCCCCGCUGGAAACCGCGGCGCGGACGUAAGCAAGCAGGGCACAUGCUCGGGAGACACCAGGAACCUUUAUUUACAAGGGAAAAAAAGAAAACCCAAAACCACGAGGGCGUCGGAAGCCCGGCUGCAAUGUCCAGCGUCUCCCGCUCCGCGACGGCGGCGUUUGCACCAAACCCGGCCCGAAACGCGGGGCCAAAGAGUCCCGAAACCGCCUGGCAGCGAGAUGGGCCGCCAAGGAGCUGGAGCCAGAGCCGGAGCUGGAGCCGGAGCUGGAGCCGGAGCUGGAGGCAGCGGCGUCUUCGGGCAGCGCGUCCCACCCGGGAAAUGGGCUCAUUUCACCUGGAAUCGGGGAAAGCAAGGUGCGAUUGUUAGCAGAGCGAAACCACACGUUUUACUCUAUUUUUUAUAUAUAUUUUUUGCUACCCUAUUUCUCAUCCUUUCUCCUUGCAUCUGGCUUGGAUGCAUGCACAAAUGCAAAAAAAAAAACGCUGCUGAAACACCCUGGGGAAAAAAGGGGGGGGGGGAAGCGGAUUUUUUGGCCAGGAGGUGGGACGAAUCCAUGCUUUUUUGGGGGGAAUUUGGGGGAAAAAGCUUUUCGCCCGGGUCUUUUGCAUCGCGGGGGCGCAGCGGCGCCCGGGGAGCCAAAGCGGCGCUUUUUCAGCCCGUACCUUGA
rnacentral:lncRNA from 1 species